GCCUGGCUGGCUCAAUUGGUAGAGCAUGUGACUCUUGAUCUUGGGGUUAUGAGUUUGAGUCCCAUGUUGAGUG
rnacentral:tRNA from 1 species